GAUGAACGCUAGCUACAGGCUUAACACAUGCAAGUCGAGGGGUAACAAGAGAAAAGCUUGCUUUUCUUGUUGACGACCGGCGCACGGGUGAGUAACGCGUAUCCAACCUGCCCCCAACUAGGGAAUAACCUUGCGAAAGUAAGACUAAUACCCUAUAAUUUCCUCAGAUGUCAUCUGACGAGGAAUAAAGAUUUAUCGGUUGUGGAUGGGGAUGCGUCUGAUUAGCUUGUUGGCGGGGUAACGGCCCACCAAGGCAACGAUCAGUAGGGGUUCUGAGAGGAAGGUCCCCCACAUGGGAACUGAGACACGGUCCAAACUCCUACGGGAGGCAGCAGUGAGGAAUAUUGGUCAAUGGGCGGAAGCCUGAACCAGCCAAGUAGCGUGCAGGAUGACGGCCCUAUGGGUUGUAAACUGCUUUUAUACAGGAAUAAAGUUAGCCACGUGUGGUUAUUUGUAGGUACUGUAUGAAUAAGGACCGGCUAAUUCCGUGCCAGCCGCCGCCGUAA
rnacentral:rRNA from 1 species